UUAGUCGGUUGUGGUUGUUCUUA
rnacentral:siRNA from 1 species